AUAGUACAAGUGGCAGAAGCCUGUGUGGGCAAGUGAUCCGCACCCAGAAAGGCAAAAAUCAGCAGUUUGGUAACAGUGAGGAGAGGCCAAGCUCCUUGGAAGGGGUCUCAUCUACUUCCCUCCUGGCUUUCAGCACCAGAUGAAUCUGAAGGUCACAGUAAAGAAACAGGGAUAGCUGGACAGGGUUUCUCUGUGUAACCCUGGCUGUCCUGGAACCCACUCUGUAGACCAGGCUGGCCUCGAACUCGGAAAUCCACCUGCCUCUGCCUGCAAAACUCUUUAGAGGAACAAAAAGGACUAACAGGGGAGAAGAGGAGAAGGAGGUGCAUUCAGACUCAUCCCAUACCUGUGUGAGAACGCUCUUAGUCUAGGACUCCGGCCAAUGAAGGUGCCACCCACAUUCAGGAGUUACUCGUUGGGUCUCUGGGGUUUAAACCUAGCUUGACCAGAAAACAGGCUGCCUUUCAAGAUCCCACAGAGGAAAACCUGGGCUGCUAAUGGGAAGCCAGAAGAGGAUUUCCCCGGCCUGCAGAAGAUGUGUUCCCAGGCAUGUGUCAUCUACACUACACGGGGUGGAUUAUUUUUAGCACAAAUGUGCACACACACCAUAUGACAAAAUUAUUUUCAGAAAUAAGUGUGAAACGAAGCAUGGAAUAAAAUCCUAGGCAGUAAA